rnacentral:rRNA from 1 species
UACAGAGGUGGCAAGCGUUGUUCGGAAUUACUGGGCGUAAAGGGCGCGUAGGCGGCCUUCUAAGUCAGACGUGAAAUCCCCCGGCUUAACCUGGGAACUGCGUCGGAUACUGGCGGGCUUGAAUCCGGGAGAGGGAUGCGGAAUUCCAGGUGUAGCGGUGAAAUGCGUAGAUAUCUGGAGGAACACCGGUGGCGAAGGCGGCAUCCUGGACCGGCAUUGACGCUGAAUAGCGAAAGCCAGGGGAGCAAACGGG